rnacentral:lncRNA from 1 species
UCUGCUAAGCACCUGCCAUAGGCUGGACAUCGAGCUAGAUGCGGAGAUCACACCACCGUCUCUCCCCACACAUUAUUUGUCAUCCAACAAGGAAGAGGGAUGAGAAGACAAGAUCAUCACAGCCAGAGAAGCAGAUGAAGAGUGGAGGAUUCCUAGAUGGUGUGGAGCUGCACAAUGGAAAGAGCCUGGGUCCUUGAAUGACUACAGACUACAUGGAGCAGAGUAACCCCUGCCACCACCAACAAUUUGCAUUGGUCUGUGAAGCAAAUAAGAGAUAACCUCUUAGUUGGGUUAAACCAAUGAGAUUUGGAUUUGUCUAUGACGGCAGCUAGCAUUACUUGCCCUGACUAAUAUGGUAUUUGAACUAUUGCUACUGCAGCAGAAAACUCUUUCAAUCCUUCAGAAUCUUUUAGUUUUCUUCUGCCUCAGGAUAUAAUGUGAUAUAUCAACACAAGAACAUGCAAAUUUUCAGCCGAGUAGAGGGAUGUGUACCAAUCCACAUCUGGGCUACUGCCUGACAGUGCUGGGAGGACCAUAAGAAGAGAGGUCUGGGAGGACCUGGGCAUGUGACAAAGAACAAAAUGCUGGAAAAGACAAAAUUGUGGCACCAAAAGCAGUUCACAAAGACCAAGUUCAAAAAUGUUGGAAACAACAUGUAGUUCUACCUCUAAGUUAAAGCUCUCUGUGUUUAUUUGGAGAUGAAACCAAAACCUAGGGAGCACUGUGACAGGUGUGAAAAGGCUGCUGUAUUGAAGUAGCACAACCAAGUCAGAUUAUGAAGAGAUGGCAGCCUACAUAGGAAGGGAGCCAAUUAGUCAGGCAAAGCUGGUAUGGAGGGUAGUAACAUUUAGAAUUAAUUUCUCUUCUUUCAUGGCCGGGCACAGUAGCUCACGUCUGUAAUCCCAGCACUUUGGGAUGCCGAGGCAGGCGGAUCACCUGAGGUUGGGAGUUGGAGACCAGCCUGACCAACACAGAGAAACCCCGUAUCUACUAAAAAUACAAAAUU